rnacentral:rRNA from 1 species
UGGCUUAGAAGCAGCCACCAUUGAAAGAGUGCGUAAUAGCUCACUGGUCGAGUGACCCCGCGCCGAAAAUGUACCGGGGCUAAACAUAUUACCGAAACUGUGGAUGAACCUCUUUAGAGGUUCGUGGUAGGAGAGCGUUCUAAGGGCGGUGAAGUCAGACCGGAAGGACUGGUGGAGCGCUUAGAAGUGAGAAUGCCGGUAUGAGUAGCGAAAGAAGGGUGAGAAUCCCUUCCACCGAAUAUCUAAGGUUUCCUGAGGAAGGCUCGUCCGCUCAGGGUUAGUCGGGACCUAAGCCGAGGCCGAUAGGCGUAGGCGAUGGACAACAGGUAGAGAUUCCUGUACCAGUGCUAAUUGUUUAACCGAUGGGGUGACACAGAAGGAUAGGGAAUCGCACGAAUGGAAAUGUGCGUCCAAGCAGUGAGUGUGAGAAGUAGGCAAAUCCGCUUCUCGCGAAGCAUGAGCUGUGAUGGGGAAGGAAAUUAAGUACGGAAGUUCCUGAUUUCACGCUGUCAAGAAAAGCCUCUAGGAAGAGUAGUACUGCCCGUACCGCAAACCGACACAGGUAGAUGAGGAGAGAAUCCUAAGGUGAGCGAGAGAACUCUCGUUAAGGAACUCGGCAAAAUGACCCCGUAACUUCGGGAGAAGGGGUGCUCUAUUAGGGUGCAAGCCCGAGAGAGCCGCAGUGAAUAGGCCCAGGCGACUGUUUAGCAAAAACACAGGUCUCUGCAAAACCGUAAGGUGACGUAUAGGGGCUGACGCCUGCCCGGUGCUGGAAGGUUAAGAGGA